AGAUUGAACGCUGGCGGCAGGCCUAACACAUGCAAGUCGAGCGGUAGAGAGGUGCUUGCAUCUCUUGAGAGCGGCGGACGGGUGAGUAAUGCCUAGGAAUCUGCCUUGUGGUGGGGGAUAACGUUCGGAAACGGACGCUAAUACCGCAUACGUCCUACGGGAGAAAGCGGGGGACCUUCGGGCCUCGCGCCAUUAGAUGAGCCUAGGUCGGAUUAGCUAGUUGGUGAGGUAAUGGCUCACCAAGGCGACGAUCCGUAACUGGUCUGAGAGGAUGAUCAGUCACACUGGAACUGAGACACGGUCCAGACUCCUACGGGAGGCAGCAGUGGGAAUAUUGGACAAUGGGCGAAAGCCUGAUCCAGCCAUGCCGCGUGUGUGAAGAAGGUCUUCGGAUUGUAAAGCACUUUAAGUUGGAGAAGGUUGUAACCUAAUACGUUGCAACUUUGACGUUACGACAGAAUAAGCACCGGCUAACUCGUGCCAGCAGCCGA
rnacentral:rRNA from 1 species